GGAGGUGAGGGUGAUCUGACUGGGACAUCUGUCACCCCGCUGAUCGCUGGGGUUGACUCGGCUGCUCUGGCCGGCUGGGCGGGGUCCCCUCCCUCCCUCACCGCUCCCUGCGUCUCUCCCGAAGCUGCAUGCUCGGGCGAAGAGGACCUUCCCCCAUAGAGGAGAGGACCGUUCUUCCGUCAAAGGUAUUUGACAA
rnacentral:snRNA from 1 species